rnacentral:rRNA from 1 species
CUUUUACGGAGAGUUUGAUCCUGGCUCAGGAUGAACGCUGGCGGCGUGCUUAACACAUGCAAGUCGAACGGUGAAGCCAAGCUUGCUUGGUGGAUCAGUGGCGAACGGGUGAGUAACACGUGAGCAACCUGCCCUGGACUCUGGGAUAAGCGCUGGAAACGGUGUCUAAUACUGGAUAUGAGGCGUGAUCGCAUGGUCAUGUUUGGAAAGAUUUUUCGGUCUGGGAUGGGCUCGCGGCCUAUCAGCUUGUUGGUGAGGUAAUGGCUCACCAAGGCGUCGACGGGUAGCCGGCCUGAGAGGGUGACCGGCCACACUGGGACUGAGACACGGCCCAGACUCCUACGGGAGGCAGCA